rnacentral:rRNA from 1 species
GGGGGCACGGGGGGGCAGCAGCCGCGGUAAUACGGGGGGUGCAAGCGUUAAUCGGAAUCACUGGGCGUAAAGGGUGCGUAGGCGGUACGUUAGGUCUGUCGUGAAAUACCCCGGGCUCAACCUGGGAAUGGCGGUGGAAACCGGUGUACUAGAGUAUGGGAGAGGGUGGUGGAAUUCCAGGUGUAGCGGUGAAAUGCGUAGAGAUCUGGAGNAACAUCAGUGGCGAAGGCGGCCACCUGGCCCAAUACUGACGCUGAGGCACGAAAGCGUGGGGAGCAAACAGGAUUAGAUACCCUGGUAGUCCACGCCCUAAACGAUGAAUACUAGAUGUUUGGUGCCUAGCGUANUGAGUGUCGUAGCGGANACGAUAAUAUUCCGCCUGGAAGA